ACUGGUUUGGCGGCCUUGGGGAUGAGCUGGUCCAGUCUGUGCCCGGGAUCCACUCCCACGGGGACCAUGGCAUCUCAGCGCAGCUGCUGCUGCCUCUGCUUCUGGCCUAGACUCCUUGCGGACAAAGCCAGGUCCUUCUACCCUCCUGGGUCAUGGGCUGAUGCCAACCACUGAGCGACACUGGCCGGGCCUAGGCUAUAAGAUCCCUGUCAUUGAGAAUCUGGGUGCAACUUAGACCAGUUCGAUGUGAUCGACUUUUCUGACAAUGAAAUCCGGAAGCUGGACGGCUUCCCACUGCUGAGGAGACUGAAGACCCUCCUGGUGAACAACAACAGGAUCUGGGCGACCUGGACCCGCGGGCAGGCGUCGCUCAAGUCGCUGACCUCCCUGAGGUAGGAGACGCCCUGUGACAGUGAGUCCUUCACAGUAACCCCUGCCCGGCCUGGACCUUAACACCCCGUGAGGACAGAGGAAUGCUGCAUGGGCACGAACUGGAAAAGCUCUGGCUGGUGUGGUUCCGUGGUUAGAGCAUCGA